rnacentral:rRNA from 1 species
UACGUAGGUGGCAAGCGUUGUCCGGAUUUACUGGGCGUAAAGCGUGCGCAGGCGGUCGUGUAAGACAGGUGUGAAAUCCCCGGGCUUAACCUGGGAACUGCAUUUGUGACUGCACGGCUGGAGUGCGGCAGAGGGGGAUGGAAUUCCGCGUGUAGCAGUGAAAUGCGUAGAUAUGCGGAGGAACACCGGUGGCGAAGGCGGCAUCCUGGACCGGCAUUGACGCUGAGGAGCGAAAGCCAGGGGAGCAAACGGG